rnacentral:rRNA from 1 species
AAUCUUCCACAAUUGGCGAAAGCCUGAUGGAGCAACGCCGCGUGAGUGAAGAAGGUUUUCGGAUCGUAAAACACUGUUGUAAGGGAAGAACAAGUACAGUAGUAACUGGCUGUACCUUGACGGUACCUUAUUAGAAAGACACGGCUAACUACGUGUCAGCAGUCGCGGUAAUACGUAGGGGGCAAGCGUUGUCCGGAAUUAUUGGGCGUAAAGCGCGCGCAGGCGGUCCUUUAAGUCUGAUGUGAAAGCCCACGGCUCAACCGUGGAGGGUCAUUGGAAACUGGGGGACUUGAGUGCAGAAGAGGAAAGUGGAAUUCCAAGUGUAGCGGUGAAAUGCGUAGAGAUAUGGAGGAACACCAGUGGCGAAGGCGACUCUCUGGUCUGUAACUGACGCUGAGGCGCGAAAGCGUGGGGAUCAAACA